rnacentral:tRNA from 1 species
GAAAGGGUAAACUAUGAAAGUUGUCUAGCUCAUAUUUARAAUACGAAAUUUUAUUUCUCCUUUUAG